ACAAUUACAAGCUUUGUCAGUUACAUGUCUUGACAAUUACAAGCUUUGUCAGUUACAGGUCUUUACAAUUACAAGCUUUGUCAGUUACAGGUCUUGACAAUUACAAGCUUUGUCAGUUACAGGUCUUGACAAUUACAAGCUUUGUCAGUUACAGGUCUCGACAAUUACAAGCUUUGUCAGUACAGGUCUUGGCAAUUACAAGCUUUGUCAGUUACAGGUCUUGACAAUUACAAGCUUUGUCAGUUACAGGUCUUGACAAUUCCAAGCAUUGUCAGUUACAGGUCUUGGCAAUUACAAGCUUUGUCAGUUACAGGUCUUGACAAUUACAAGCUUUGUCAGUUACAGGUCUUGACAAUUACAAGCUUUGUCAGUUGCAGGUCUUGACAAUUACAAGCUUUGUCAGUUACAGGUCUUGACAAUUACAAGCUUUGUCAGUUACAGGUCUUGACAAUUACAAGCUUUGUCAGUUACAGGUCUUGACAAUUACAAGCUUUGUCAGUUACAGGUCUUGACAAUUACAAGCUUUGUCAGUUACAGGUCUUGACAAUUACAAGCUUUGUCAGUUACAGGUCUUGACAAUUACAAGCUUUGUCAGUUACAGGUCUUGACAAUUACAAGCUUUGUCAGUUACAGGUCUUG